GGAGAAACUAGUGCUGAAAAUUCCUUGACAGAAAACCAGCCAAGUGAGCAAAAAUGUCAUGAACCAGAUGAAAAUGCACAUCCUGAAAGUGAAGAAAAGCCUACAAAUAUAGCCCCUUUGACUGGUGAUAAUGCUAUGGCAAAAGAAACGUGCAACAGCAUAUUGAUUGAGGAGAAACCAAGCAAGUGCUGGGCAGAUUACAGUGACAGUGACGG
rnacentral:misc_RNA from 1 species